rnacentral:lncRNA from 1 species
CUAAUUUUGGGUAAGCCUUAGGCUUUUUUUUUAUUCAGAUAUUUUGUGGUGUAUGUUGAUGUUUUUAAGUUGGAAGAUUUGCAUAAUAUAGCUUUAUAUUAAGGAAGAUGAGAUAACAUAUAGAGUAUAUUAGUGUGAUGGAAUGAAUUAAAAAGGUUAAGGAAGAAAAAUCAGUGAGGUAGGAAAUCUAAAAAAAAUAUAGAUAAUUACAAUAAGCAAAAACUAUUUUAGGAAAAUAUAGAAGAGAUAGAAA